UAUGAACGGCUAAAUGAGGAUUGAACUGUCUCCUAUAACCAAUCAGUGAAACUGAUCCCCCAGUCCAAAAGCUGGGAUACAAUCAUAAGACGAGAAGACCCUGUGGAGCUUUAAAUUAAAGCCAUCUGCUCCUCUUAGCCUAAUCAGUCAUGGCCUACAAUUUUAAGUUGGGGCGACUUAGGAACAAAAUUAAACUUCCUAGCACAAGAGAAUUCCUCAUACUAAGGCCUACACGCCAAGGCAUAAACUGACCCAGUACCACUGAUCAACGAACCAAGUUACCCCAGGGAUAACAGCGCCAUCUUCUCUAAGAGUCCCUAUCGCCGAGAAGGUUUACGACCUCGAUGUUGGAUCAGGACACCCAAAUGGUGCAACAGCUAUUAACGGUUCGUUUGUUCAACGAUUAACAGUCCUACGUGAUCUGAGUUC
rnacentral:rRNA from 1 species